rnacentral:rRNA from 1 species
UUCCGGUUGAUCCUGCCGGACCUGACUGCUAUCAGAAUGGGGCUAAGCCAUGCGAGUCGAACGUACCGGGCGUGGCGGACGGCUCAGUAACACGUAGCCAACCUACCCUGAAGACGUGGAUAACCCCGGGAAACUGGGACUAAUCCGCGAUCGGCCAAGAUUCCUGGAACGGAUCCUGGCCAAAAGUUUGUCUGCUUCAGGAUGGAGCUGCGGCCGAUCAGGUUGUUGGUGGGGUAAUGGCCCACCAAGCCUAUAACCGGUACGGGCUUUGAGAGAAGGAGCCUGGAGAUGGACACUGAGACAAGGGUCCAGGUCCUAUGGGGCGCAGCAGGCGCGGAAACUUCGCAAUGCGCGAAAGCGCGACGAGGCUACUCUGAGUGCCACCCGCUGAGGGUGGCUUUUCUUGGGUCUAAAUAGCCUGAGGAAUAAGGGGAGGGCAAGUCUGGUGUCAGCCGCCGCGGUAAUACCAGCUCCCCGAGUGGUCGGGACGUUUAUUGGGCCUAAAGCAUCCGUAGCCGGUUCUAUAAAUGCCAGGGUAAAUCGGGCGGCUCAACCGUCCGAAUUCCAGAAAGACUGCUGAACUUGGGACCGGGGGAGGUUGGAGGUACUCCUGGGGUAGGGGUGAAAUCCUGUAAUCCUAGGGGGACCACCAGUGGCGAAGGCGUCCAACCAAAACGGCUCCGACGGUAAGGGACGAAGCCCUGGGGCGCAAACGGGAUUAGAUACCCCGGUAGUCCAGGGUGUAAACGCUGCAGGCUUGGUGUUGGGGGUCCUACGAGGGCGCCCAGUGCCGGAGAGAAGUUGUUAAGCCUGCCGCUUGGGGAGUACGUCCGCAAGGAUGAAACUUAAAGGAAUUGGCGGGGGAGCACAGCAACGGGUGGAGCGUGCGGUUCAAUUGGAUUCAACGCCGGA